rnacentral:lncRNA from 1 species
AACUGACUUACCUUUGGCACGUGGCUUUGAAAGCUUCCUGCUCGACACAAGUCACAUAAGCCAUACUGUCACAGUAGCUCAGCAGUGCAGGUAAAGCCGGCCUGUAAAUGAAUGAAAUCAAGAAAUCAAGUGCCUCUGCCUAAUUUCUUAAGCUUAAGCAAACUGGAUCGAUUAGCACAUUGAAAAAUAUCAUUGCUGUCUCUUUCUCCCCACCACCUGAGUGCAGAUGAUUUCGAGUUAUACCAUACAGCUGAUGUUAAAUCUGUGCCAAGGUAGGAGAUGGAUCGUGGUUUGGAAUGGAAGUUCAGGUUAGGGCCAUAAUUCUCUCCCUGCCUCCAAACUUUUAAGAUCAGGACAAUUAAAGCUGUCCUACCCCUCACUGGACCUAAGAGACAAAGUAUGCAUGCAGGAUGCUCCACGGCUACGUGUGGUAAGGAACUGCAGAAGGAGGCCACGAGCCUUCCCCUGUGUUGGAAUGGGGAAAGUUCUGGGGAGCAGUAGGAGAUCGAGCACAGAGCACUGAAUAGACUGUAGUGCCUAACUUAGUGGUUGGUAACCCUGCCCAUGGCAGAGGGCUGGAACUGGAUGUUCCUUGAGGCCCCUUCCAACCCAAGUCAUUCUGUGACUCUAUGAUUCUGGGCACACAGAGAUGAGAGGAGCUGUAUAAUCAUGGGGUGACAAGACACGAACAGUUUAACCUUGCCACAGCCACUUCCACCUGGGCUCUGUGAGUUUUAAAAGGAGCAAAAUCUCGUUCAGGGCUUAAAAGUACGUUGAGCUCUGCAGAGAAAAAGCCAUAUGUCAAAUUCAGGUAUUGUUAAUGUAGUGGUGAAAAUACACGACUUUAACAUACAGACUGGCAGACGUUUCAUUUGAAAGCAGGAAUUAAAAUAAUGACAGGUUGUGUCGUGUGACAGCACACUUACCAACAAGACUGCCCUUUUCUCGUGCGUGAAAGUCAACCAUAUGGAGGGAGAGGCUGCUGGAAAUAUGCAAGGGGCACAAAAAUGGAGGCAGAGAUGGGGGAGUUUCAUGGAAGAUGCUGAGUUGAUGACCGGAGCCUUCAGCCAGGCUGUUACCCUCUUUACUUUCUAAUGCUGUGCAAAUGAAUUAAUCAAAGCGCACGCAUUCUCUUGCAAAUCAAAGGUUCUGCCUCUCUGUGCCCCUGAGGUCAUACGUGACCAUGUCCUGACCCUGACAGUCUGCAGUCGUCCUCAGCACGGGCACACACCUCCCUAACCGCUGCAGCCCAUGUCUGCUGUGCGUUGUAUGCUGCUUCCCCCUUCCUUGUUUUUAUUUUACAAAUCUACUUUAAAAAAAUCCUGUUACCUUUUAUGUAUUCCUGCAUCCUCCCUUGCACCGAGAAGCUUCUUGAUACUUAAGCAAAUGUUAAGAUAUAGGCAAAAAUAUAGGAAGAGAAGAUUAUUCCAGGCCACUUUGCAGAAAAAGGAAUACUUUAUUUUAUGGAAAGCAAAAUCUUCAGCUGAAAGAGGCUCGUGUUUACAUUAUCACUAAAACUUCUGCUGAAUGGGGAAGAAACAGUAACGGCAGACAGCGCUUCAAAAGGAAGUUCUGUUACAGCACAGACCAAAAAAAUUUAAGUUCUUCCAGUGUAAAAAAUACGUAGUCAAUGGCUGAGCUUCUACAUUUGCCUUCAAUACUGAGCUGUGAGCGUGGAGUGCCCCACUGCAAGUCGUUAAUGUACCCACCAGCCCUACUGCUCAAACCUAUGCAAGGAGAGAAUUAAUACAAAGGCAUUCAUCGAGCGCAAAACUGAGAUAUUCUUUCACUGCAACUUCUGCAGCUCUAACAAAGACAGCAUUCAAAGAAUAAAAAAUAAAAAAAGCAUUUCAAAGAGCAGCGUAGAUGCCGGGCAUGGAUCGGCUCUUCACUUAAAGACAGAGGCCGCAGGCCCAAAGGAAUAACUCAGACAACGCAGACGCUCCAAGUUUCAGACUUUCAGGCUGGAGGCCUCCAGUUGGAACUUAUCUCUGUUUUCACACAUCAGUAGGUUCGGCGGAGUUAGAAAUACCCAGCACGUACAAGGAAAACAAUCUCUAUCAGUGGAUACAGCACGAACACGAUAACGCAAUGUUUUGCAAGCCUCGAGCAAUUGUCAAGCCACUGCGCUUUGUCAAGGCAGCACACUUGACUGUCAGGGUCAUCUAACCUUAGGUCACCUUCUACCUUCUCCCUGGCCAGGUCCCAGCACCUCCAUUUACUCUCUGUAAGUGCUGCAGCACCCUGGAGGCAGGGGCAGAGGCAAUGGGUGCUGCUGCCCCAGUAGGAGCAGCAGCUGCCUGGGUGCAUCGCUUUGCGCCCCUGAGUUAAAUGAUCCUUAUCAACUACCCCUCCAAACAGAAAAGAGAAGGACCCUACCUUAUUCCACCUAUUUUGGUAUGGUUUUAUAUUUGCAUUAUUUUAUUUCAGUGUUCGAGGCCCUUUUUCAAUUAAAUAUAGCCACUCACAAAACACGAUUCUUUUUGUUAGCUGGCUUGUUAUUCCCUAGCCAUACAGUUUUUACUUAAUCUCCUGUAAAGCAAACCUCUGACUCUUAAUUGUUAUGUUUUACAAUAGAAAACAUAAUGGGUUUUCUUUACUACGUGAUUAAGCCUUCCAGUUCCGAUUUGUGAACUCCAUGUAGACGGAAAGCGGAAUUCAAUUAAAAUGUAGCAAAAGGGCACUUCAUUUUCUAUCAGUUUAAUUAAAUAACCAUAGAUGUACAUAACGUGUAAGCAGAAGAAUACACUUAUCAGAACACGGUGCACUGCGAGCUGAUUUAUUCAGCCAGGACUAAUCACUGCUAGCUGGUGAGCUGCUGUGAUUGUUUCUGGUCAGCACGACCUUCAAGACUUCAGAGCUGGUACGUCUCAUCCUCUCGCAGUCUUCACUCAUGGGCUCGAUGAGAAAGCAAAAUAAGAGAUUGCCUGCUUUUUCAUCUCUCCGUGGCGCUUUCCAUUUUGAACAUAAAUGAGUAUAUUAAAAGAGCUUCAGCGUUCAGCGGGUUGUAGUUCCAGGAGCUCCGGCAGUGACUCCCAGCCCUUCAGUGGUUUGACUUGCUCUAAAAAUCUGGCGUCAAAAAAAAUGUGUCGCGUAGCACUUUUAUUGUGUUAUUUUAAAAUACCUACAGUAAAUGUAGCCUUACUGCAGGCUGCCCUACUUCCGUAUUUAGUUUUAAGUGGUCUUAUUAAAAAAAAAAAAAAAAGAAAGAAACAUUUAAAUAAAAUAAAGUAUACGUAUAUAACUCAUUAAACUUACAUUCCUCAUUCCAGUAGGCCACAGAAGCAAUAGAAAGUGUGGAUUCCCUCCUUUCUGAUUUAUCAGCCACUUGUGCUAUGGUGUGCUCAGAACAGAACGGGUUCCUACUGUGCCUGCUGGUGUACACACGAAGUUAAAGAGACAGAGCCCUGGCAGAGAGGUUUGCUUUAAUUUGCUCAACACCUGAGGUGUUAAAAGUAAAGCCAAACAGGAGAAGCUUUUUGCUUUUUUUUUUUUUUUUUUGAGGUGAAGCACUGGCUGUUCAAGUGCAGGUUUACCAGCGCCAGGAGGCAGAGCGUGGGAGGAUGCCACAGAGGGCCCCAGGUCCUCCAUCCCCUCCUGUUCCCCUACCUUGAGUUCCAGCUGCACUCACCCAGGCCCAUAGACUGGCAGUUGGAGAGAGUUUAAACGAACCAGGGAACUGAAUGUAAGCAAUGAUGGCAUUAAGCUCUGCUAAAGAUAGAGGCUUCCCAUUGAAUUUCCUUCCUGCGUGACUCUGGAGCGUAAUCCUAGCACCAGGACCACUUCUCAGGUGGAAAGGAAGAAAAUUAUUACUGACAAGGUCCAAAGGCUGGGAUCCUGACCUCCUCAGUUUUGAACUGUGCCUUACAGAUUGGCAUUGCAGAUCUGUGGAUUCAUCUGAUUUGCUUAACAUGGAUCAGAAUGUAAUUCCUGCUCCCGAAUCACUGUGUUGGAAACCAAGCUAUCUUAUGAAUUUUCUAGUGUUUUGUUUUCUUUUUUGUUUGGUUGGUUUUAGUGUUUUGUUGUUGUUGUUGUUGUUAUUGUUUUUGAUAGGCUGAAAGAUUUCCUUUCUAUAGCAGAGAGAUUCUGAAGGCAAGCGUAAGGAAGAAGAAAAAUCUCUGGUCAAAAUUACAGUGGUAACAGCAAGUUUCUAAAGAGAUCAAUUUUGGUUUAGGCAAGGGCAAGAUUAAGCAGAGAAAAAGAGGUAAGGUAGAGGCGUUUCACUAACACGUAUUACAAAAUUGUUGACUUGGGUUGGCUCUUGCUGGUUGAAUUUUAGGAGGGAAUGGUCCUGAAAGUAUUGAUUCAUUACUGUAAGACUGGGCUAGCAGAGGUCCAUAAAUCAACUGUAUUUUAGAAUGGAAGAGAGGUUGGGCUGUCCAUUAACCCACCUCUGGCUACAGGCAUAGGCCAGUUCCUAGCCAAGUGAGCAGCAGGACCAGGACCAGCACACUUGACAUUGCCCAUGGGUGCCAGUACCCAGUGUUUAGCUCGGGUGUGUCCCUGGCUUGAUGCGAUCUGUCUGCUCAGUGACCUUCACCACAUCCCUCCUCCACGUUCUUCUGCAGCCCCUCCUUAGAUCCACGUGAGCUAUCUGUACUAUCUGUACUAUCUUAAGGCAAAGAAUGUCACAAGUAUAUUACCCACGUACAUAUAAAAUAAUACAAUUUAUUAUACUGUUUGCUUUGAACUUGCCUACCGCCAGCUUCAUCUGAUGCACCCUUAUUCCUGUAUUGAUAGUGAAGGCAGAAAGUUGAUCCCUGUUCAUCCUUUUCAUGUGCCAUUUUAAAAUGUUUGUUGCUAUUUUGAAGAAGCAUCGGAGGGGCAAUUAAAGUCUCUGAAGUAGAGGCUGUAGUCUCUGUGCUGGAAGCCUAUUUCUUCUUAGCUCUCAGCUACUGCUCAGCCCGCUUUCUGUGGCAGAUGCUGGAGCUGCUCUUGUAUGGCAGGCCUUCCAAGAUCCCAGGGAACUGGAAGCUCCGCCGAGCACACUUGGGGAGAGCCACUCUUUCCCACUGUUAGGGAUGAUGCGUUGGAGGAAAAGAUGCAGUCAUGCAUAUUGCGCUCUUAAAGCCCUGCUGGCCUUUCUGCAAGCAGAAUCUAAAAGAAUAGUAAGGAGUGGAAAUAAAGAGAAGAAAAUCUGCUGUUCCACGGAAAUCAGCUCCAUUCUAAGAAUAUUGCUUGCUAAGAAUUAAAGCUCAAGGAAUCAGUGCAAACUUCAGCUGAGAGCUCAAGUAAAAACCUGAAGUAGUUCAAGCCUUUCUCUAAGGGAGCAAGACUUUGUUUCUGGAGUUUGGCAGCAGACCUUAAUCAGGCAGAGCUGACAAUAAUUAAAACAGUGGAAGCUUGUGAGAAUUUCCUAGUAUUUCCAUAGGAGAUUCGUGGAAUAUAUUCUCAUUUUCCUUGCUACGUGUUUUACAAGGCACAGAAAUAUUUCUCAAGCAGACAGAAAGGUCCAUUUUCUAUUGGUGAGAAAAUACUAAGAAGGAUAGGUGGGACGUGUUUUCACUCUUAGGUAAAAAUAUAAACAGAGUCAGAAACCUUACUGCAAGGUAAGAUAUAUUGUGUCCCAGUAUGGAGGUAUUCUGUAGAACUCCAGGUAGUGUCAAAGCUCUUACACAGCACAGUAGUACUGAAAGCAGAGGUUAGGGAAAAUGCUGCUGAUGCUACGAUACAUGGACAGAAAGUCUUCUAAUUUAGGUUUAAGAGUAACUUCAGUGAUAGGUAUUCUGUGUAAAUCAAAAUAUUCUGUACUGUUGUGAAACAGUUUCUGUCAGUAAAUUUCAUGCGGGCAACACCCAGACCCACUUACAGCCAUCCUGGGUUUGGCUGCAGGAUCUGAUUAUUUCUUCAGAAGAAUAUUUUUGGCUAAGCAGGUACAGAGACAGUGCUGAAAGUUUCACACAACACAAAGAAAGGUAAAAGGAAAAGGCAUCCACAACUCCUGUUCCUAGGCGGGUCUGCAGGGCAUUUUUCCUGGAACUCUCAGUGUCCCUCCUGGUAGAAUGGGGCACCUACUCUUGCCAUGAAUGAGUGCCCAUUUAGGAUUUCCCAUUUGAAAAUGGUUCCUCUGGAAGACCAGUCACUGUUGUUGGCUCCCCAUUAGGGUGGUUAGACAGACUGAAGGUCAGGAAGGGUCAGAGCCUCUUAACAGUAACCCCAAAAGUUCCCUGGUGUGAGUCAGGUGAAAGUUACUGAAGAUGGUCUUACCCCUCACUGGCUCGUUGACUAAACAUAUCAUUGGUUAUCACUUUGACUAUCAGCACUUGUUCAGUAAGCCUCUGAAAAACAACCUAGUGUACUUCUGGUUCGAGGUAGUGGGUCCUGGCUCAGAGAUACACAGAGAACAUCUCCUGAGCAUCACAGAGACUUCCAAUGUGAGCAAAUCUCCGUCCCAGAACAGGCCUAUCAUCCAGCCCGCAAGCAUAUCCAGUAGGAAGAUGACACCAUACUGAGGACCCGUGAUUGGUUUGCCCUAAGUUUCAUGAGUAGAGGACUUCUUCAUGUGCCACACCAUUUGAUUUGGUGCUGAGCAGCAACAGGUCAACUUUGUGCAGAAUGUAGACAAAUUACAGUAUGUCUAGUGAAAGACUGUAAACGCUAAGAUGCUUUCAGUGAGCUUAACAGAUGCUUGGAAGAGAAUUUAACUGACUUGUUGCUGUUCAGCAACCCCAUAACGAAGUGUUGCAAAUCAGAAUUGCUGUUUUUUUAGGUCUAGAACCAUUGACUCUACGGUUUUUGACCUGUGUGACCUGAGUCAGUCACCUGUUGUGGCACUACACUUCAGUUUGUUAUCUUCUGAGACAGUUGCUUUUUGGAAUGAGGCAGGAAGAACACCAAAACAAAACAAAUAUGAUUCAUGAGGAGGAUUUGUGAAGGGUUGCUCUCUGUAGAACAGUCCAGUGUUCCCAUUAGGAAUCUGUUGUGUGGGCCCCUGUAUUUAAGGCACUUUGCAGGUUGAUCUCGAGGAUUAGGGAUUGGUGAGGAAAUUAUGGAUCCAACUCCAAUCCAAAUUUGAAAUAGCAAACGGAAGUGUCACAGUACUGAUGGCUCACAGCACAGGGCUAGCCACUCGCCUCUUCUGUAAGGAAAGUGGUAGGUACAGCAGCUUCUGUUAGCAAUCCGUGGCGGCACAUUUGCUCCUGCAAUCUGUUGUAAAAGGGAAUCUGUUUCUGGUGUUUGUUGUUUCUGACUGGCUGGAUAGCUUUUUAGGGAAUAAGGGAUAGAGGAGGCACAAGGGAAGAGCAAGUCACACAGCUCUAUGGACAGCACAGACACUACAGAGGCGAUCGCUGCUAUCAGGGCUCUAAAUACAUAAGGCGCUCAACACAAAGCCAGUCACUAUCAAGGUCCCUGCAGGGAGCAUCAAGAAAAUAAAAUAGUUCUUUUCAGGCCCUGGACUUCAAAAUACAUAAAUCAAAGAGCUACCAUAUUGCUGAUUACUCUUUCAUCCCUUGCUAUGUGCAUGUGCUUGUGCUUGGAACCGCAGUCCUCCAGCCGACUUGCCUGUAGGUGAGCUGUGGGCAUGAGUGUGGCCUAGAAGCCCAGAAUCACAGCUUUUAGGACACUUAAUAUGAGACACUGCCUUAAAGCAUAACUGUAGCUUUAUUCAUGGAAUUUAGAAAUAAACUGAUCUUUAAUUUCUUUUUUCCCCCUAGGGAAAUCCCCUCCCUCCUUCCCUUACUGUCUGUUUCCUCGUGUCAUAAAUAGGAUCUGAAGAAUCAUGCUAGGGAAAAUAUUAAACCCCAGUAACUCAUGACUCUCUUAUCCCUAUAGAAGGAGACGUGUGGUAUAUUAAUUCAAGCCAUAUUUCUUAAUAGACAGUAGGAGACCUAAUUUAUUGCAUGAAAUUAAUUACAGUAUUACACAUAAAAGUUAAAUGAAUCACAGAGUACUUACAUUGCACUAUUUCCACCUUUGUGGUAUGAUGGAAAUAAUGAAAUCAUGAAUGUUUGUACUCACAGCACUGUUUAAUGCCCCAAGGACAGAGAGCAUGAGGGUGCUUCAAGUCAUCCACUGAUACCGUCUAGUAAUUAGACUCUGCUCGUCCAAAUUGUCCUUGUACUCACAGGGUGCAUACACACCAGCAAUGAACUCUAUCUACUCAAGAUCUCAAGAAGCCAAAAGCACCCUAGCUGAGUUAUUCACAUGCUUCAUAAAAACUGGGCAAUUAAAGUUAUUCUCUGUGCUUUGGCCAACUUAGAUGGAAAGCUAGGCUGCAUAAGUUAACAUGCAUGCAAACUACAUCAAGAAAGCAUCCUUCUUUUUAUUACUGUUCCUGUGUAUCACAAUAUAAGUAGGGAGAGCCCAGAAGUACGUACAAACUCUAAUACUCCAGAGAAAAUGUUUUCUUAAUUCUGACCUUCUCUUAACUUAUUCCUCAAAAUUGGCCACAGGACUGUCUUUCUGAAGUACAGUUUCUAGCACUUUGUUCAGUCUAAUUUUGAUUAUGCUAAGUAAGUGGAUUACCAUGUCUUUAAAAUAAUACCGAAUCUGUUAAGACAGAAUUACUCAAACCAACUGCACACCAUGUUUUCCCAAUUCUAUCCCACCUUCCAAUUAUACGUUCUCUGUAGAAAUACAGAAUCGUAGAACGGCUUGGGUUGGAAGGGACCUCAAGGAUCAUGAAGCUCCAACCCUCUGCUGCUCGCAAGGCCACCAACCUCCAUAUCUAAUGCUAGACCAGACUGCACAGGGCCCCAUCCAGUUUGACCCUGAGCACCUCCAGGGACGGAGGCCUGUUCCAGCACCUCACCAAUCUCUUGGUAUACUCUCCUUGUAUCAGUCAGCCCAUCUUCGAUUAAAAAAAUCUUCUGUUCUCUAUCACAUCAUUCCAGUUUAACUGUGAAUGGUUGUUUACCUCACUCAAUCAAACAGCGUAUAUUCUUUUCCUUCUCAGCUGCCCCUUAGUAAUUCUUACUGCUUCUAAAUAUCCUUAUUUAAUCCAUAAGGAAUAUUUUCAAAGUUGUUACGUGACAACAUUCAUUGGCACCUUUGAAAUAGCAGUUAGAGCAUUCUAUACUAUGAGCUGUAGGGUUUUUUUUUCCUGAGUAUCAUAUUAUCCGAAGUAGAUUACAGACACCUUGCUGGGCAUUGGUUUUCUUAAUGGCCACAUUGGGCCUCUGAAGACACGCAGAGAAACUACAUUUGUCUUCCUAAUAAAUAGCCUCUGGUUAACGAAAUAUUUUCUUUAGUCUGAAAAAAUAAUGCUAACUGGUUGAUAAAAUAUUAAAUGGGAAUGUUGAAAAUAUAGUUAAUAUUUUAUAACUUCAAACUACAAAUGUGAGUAUUUGAUUACUAAAAUUAGAGACUUUAUGCACACGUUGGAAAGCAAGCUCUGAGAAGUGGACAAACUUAGAUUUUGAUUUGAAGUAAAAGAAGCCUUAGUAGUUUCUCAUUUUUCUCAAUUUGUUCGAUUCAUCAUUCACAGCUCACAUCAUUCUCUCUUCAUGAAACAUCUUGGAUCAUAAGCUACUACUUUAGUUUUCAUGAGAAAAACUAAGAAGUGUGAAUUAAACAUUCUGAAGGUAUUUGCUAGACAUGUUUUUCCCAUAGCUUCUCUGAAGAAAACUGGUUUUCUUCUAAACUAUAUUAAUAUAAAGGAGCAAUAGUAUGUAGUUUAUAUUCUUGUUCCAGAGCGCUGUGGCAAUUCUAACAUAGGGCAUACUUUGCCCGUUGCAAACAAACUUAUAAUGCAGUCAGUUACUGUUGGUAAAUAAGACUCCUAAAAUUACAUACAUCAAAUUGACAACAAUCUUUGUCUGGACUGCUUUGUGUUCUAAAGGCUUUGAGACUAUAGUGGUCUUCUUCUAAGUCGGUUCUCAAAUAACUUAAGUAGAUGUCUCCUACUUCAGAAACUCCUUAAACCAAGUCCUGGUCCAGUCUAGAUGACUCACGUGCCAUGCAAAAGAGGAAUGUUACACUGGAGCUCCCUGGUUCUAGAGCAGGAUAACAAGACAGGUCUACAAAGUGAAAGGUUGCUUCUUCUCUUACUUUCUUACUUAAGCCUUCCUCUUUGGGAGGUUAACUAAGCAGAAAUCAUUUGAGUCUCUGUCUGCUAUUCACGUUUUUAAUACAGCUGUUACUAAUAAUUGAGAAGUUUCUCACACCGUUUGAAUGAAGGUACAAAAAAUACCCAUUUUCACAUAUUCACAGUCUUUGCUGCCACAGACCAAAUACAAGAACUAUCGCUGCAAAAUGAGCACUUCAAUUUGAAGACUUUAACUAUUGUUAGAGAUGAACACAGACAUUGUCAAGCAGCGAACAGAUCUGCGUUUUUACUGUUUAUCACGGUAAUAAAUAUAAUUAAAGGCUUUUCUCAUUUUCCUUCAGAUUGAGUUUCUUAGAAAGAACAGACGUGUCUGUCAGGAUUCUGAACAGGCAAAUGAUCCUCAUCCCUCCAGUAUCCUUGCUCUUCUGCAUCACGUAUUUUAUGUUCUACCAAAAGCAUAUAUGUGAAUGAUUCACUUUAUGAUCGAGGCCAUGAAUGUCAGUAACGUGAUCCAUACAUGUUCUUUAAUGUUGUUUUUGAGUACAGGACGAUAAAAUAAAUUGAGGUUUGGAGCAAAACUACAAGCGAUGCUUUCUAAUAUCACUAACUAAUUUCACUUUGGGGUUCCAUUAUGACAGCACAGAUACUAGGUUUCAUUUUUAUUACUAUCAGACUUCACUUAUCACAGCAAGAAUAGGCUGCUAACCACAGAAAGUAAAAUCGAUCAUCAAAGUUCUGGUUUUGCUUAGGAAUCAGACUGUUUCAGAUACUCUGUAAAGUAAUACACUCUAGUUAUCUAUUUAUGACUUAAAAGAAACUACAUGUGUUUUGAAUGCAGUAUAUUUCCCCGUAAUAACAACAAAGCUAUACAUACCUGAGGAGCACGUGCUGGAGCUGGAAGUCAAGGGUAAAGUGCAUUGCUGGUGCUGGAAUGAAGGCACACAGCCUCCUAUGUGGAGGGUCACAUAGUGCAGUCAGGGUGCCAGCGCUGCUUGCACAAAUAGGUGAACUUUUAUCCUUGUCCAUGAUCUGCAAAUAGAGAGUACAUGCAUGUGAAGGUUGGAGUUAACAUCGGUGAAAAUUAAUUAAUACAAAAAGGCGUACAAAAGACAAAAAUACCUCUGUUGAUAAAAAGAUGCCUGCAAUUUUAAUGAUUCAUCAUGCAUUCAGACUAGCCGACUUCAUCUCCGCGUUUCGUAAUUUAUUUUCAAAUUACUUAUUAAGUUCCAGAUUAUUUAUUGAGUUCAACAGAGCUAACAGAGUUAGGAGAGAAGAUAAAUGUAAGAACACUGUAAGGACGGAAACUUGUUCAACGUGUUCUAAAUUGCCAGUGAAGAAGAUGCUCCAGCAUCUCUGGAUAGUACAGUUCCAGUCAUUACCCGUCCUUGGACUCAGAAGUGCUUCACAAAUAGGUAGCCUGUUGUUCUUUGCUGUAAAUUAAGAUAAUCUUUUCUUGUCCUCCCAUUACAGGCUACAAAAGACAAUCGAUGACUGUCUUCUUCACAAUAAUCUUUAGAUGUCAGAUUCUUCUAUUUUCCCCUCAGUCCUCUCUUCUGUAGACUAAACAAACACAGCUUUUCCAAACUGCGCCUUACAAACCUCGCUCUGCAAAAGCCUUUUCACUCGUGUUCUCCUACAGAUUCUCUUUCACCUGGGCACUGAAAUUAUUUCCCUUUUCUAGAUUUUAUUUUAACACAGAGGUGCAAUUUUAUUUGCUUUUUUUCUUGGCCAUUUUGCUCAACCGCUUUGUUGUUUGUCUGAGUGAUUGAUUUCAUUUCUUCUGUAAAAGUAGAUUCUGCCAACGUCAUCUGGAGUUUGGUGGUGGUGUAGAGCAGUAGGCCCUGCAGAGCCUUGAAACAAAACGCAUCUGUCCAUUUUUUCAGUCACUUUUUGGGAAAUCAGUAGUGACACUUAAUUCUCUUUGAAUGAUUCACUCGUUCUCAUUUUUUUUUCCCCCUUUCAAGUAGUGGAUGGAGCGGGGGUUUUGUAUGCCUUCUCUUUUGUAAUACUGAACCUUUAGGUGUAAUGCCUAAAACAAGAAUGGCAAAAGUCUUAAUAAAUGAGCAGCCAUAUAGAUGGACAGAGAAGCGUAAGUAUUGUUUGCUUUGAGAACCAGGCAGAAGCAGAAGGAAGGUUUGACUCAAAGCCCACAUCCCUCUCCCUUGCCUCAAAACAGAUCACAGCACCUUCUGAAUCAGAGGCAGAAGGAUGCUGCUAGCUGAAAUAUUCAGUGGAGUCCCUUUUGAUGAUUACACAGUUACUAGUUUGUGGUAAACGCGUGUCACAUUCUGCACUGUUUUCAAUAUGAGUUUUGUCUGAAUAAAGCCGAAAUAUUCUGGACCAAGAAAAAUAAAACAAAGGAUGUAAGAUAACAGAUCAAAGAAGUGCUUUAAAUGCUGCGGUGGCUGUCUUUCUUCACAUUUAUUUCCAGCUGCCUGCCUUUGGAGAAUCUAGUCUCUUUGCUUUCUUAACCAAAGAUAGUUUGUCCCAGGAAUCUCCAAAUUAUUUCCUUGGAAAGAAAGACAAAAAGUGAAAAACUGGUCAGAGGUAGCCCAGAUUUUCUGCUUCUUUGCUCUACUUCACUCACACAAACUAUACCACAGUCACAUACGAAAGUUCUUCUAAGAAGUGGUUUCUUCGGUUUGGUUUUACUUUUUAAUAUUCAUAUCAUCUAUUCUGAGGGUAGUUUCAUAAUGAAUUCCUGAAAUUUAGUAGUUGUUCUCUGUAAUCUAACUAACCUAGCCGUUUGCAAAGCAUCCAGACCCCACAGUACCCAGGUGUGUUCCCUGUGACGAUGGAUUCUGUGGCUCCCAGCAGCUCCUGCUCACAGCCAUCCAUUUUCCACAUCAGGAAAAGCCUUUUCACACCUUCUCUGAUGAUUUCUGAUGCAGUCACCUCCUGGACAUACUGAAGCUUAGCUGCCCACAGCUCCCAAAAGCAGUGGGGAAAAACCCUUUCUCUGGGAACAGAGAGGCGACUCCUCAGCACAUGGCUAUUUAAGCAAGAGUGAUGGGCAUUGAACAUAUUCACAGUGAGCAGAGAAGCAGUUUACAAACACUUCUCCAGCAGACAGUCGUACCUGUGCUAUCUGCUGUAUUUUUCUGAAUCUCUUUUCAGAGAAGCCUUAAAAUGACUUUUUUUCCCUCAAAACAGGAACUGCCAGCUCUGACAGUUCAGACAUUAGGCUCAGAGAGAAGUGGACAGCUUCAAGCAUUUUGUUUGUUUCAUGCCAUUUCCUGAAACUGAAAUUACAGAAUUUUACAUAAUGCAUUUGCAUUUCAAAAUUACAAGGUCAUUGUAAGAACUGUUUUUUUCCAGCCAGAUAUGUAAUACAUGUGACAUUGGCUUUUUUUUUCCCUCUAUCCACGUGUAUGCAAAUCUACUUUCUUCACCCUGAUGUUCUCUUGCCUUUACUGAUGCAUACUUUCUGUUAUUUGCAAGAAUAGAACUAUGCUAAAGCCAACGCCACAGAAUCAGACGUUAAUACUGUAGAAGUGAUUUUGCUGAACGUAUUUCCCCACCACAUUGCACACAUAUGGAUGCCGGCAGUACAGUAAGGCCAGAAAAGGCCACUUAGUUCCUCCAGAGUCCUGCACUUCUUAAGGACUGCUUCUCCAAAUAAGCUACGCUAGUUAAUCUAUAGACAAAUCUAUGUCUGAAUAGCUGUUAAGAUGGUCUGUUUGUUUCCCAGCGUUACAUCAAGAAUUGUUUCCUAUUAAGCUGUUUCCAAACACCUGCUCCCAAAUUUUCCUUCUCAACUUCUGGCCAUUUUAUUUUGAUCUGCAGCAUCCAAAAAUUUUGCCCAAUUUAUGUAUUUAUGUCCCUUAUAUACUGAAUAGAUCUAGUCAGUAUCAGGCAUACAUAAACUUUAAUCGAGCAAGAUCAAGUUGUUUGUGUAUUUAAUAAAUUCAGCAAGUUCUCAUAAGAGUGGUGACCUUGUUCUGAAUGUAGGUAUCUUCCUUUGAACUGCCUGUGACACUUCAUACCGAAUGCCUCGAACAUUAUAGGUGUGGUUGUAGCAGCACUAUACGUAACAACUCUAAAAAUCAUUAGCUCCUUAAUUUCAUCUAUUUUCAAAUCUAACGUACAAAGAGACAGCUUCCUUCUUAUAACCCCCAUGGCAUUCUGAUGCAUUUCUUGAGUUUAUGUGUUAGAUCAAUAUUUCAAGAACCAAUUUUGCCAAGUAAAGUGUAGAGAUCCUCAGCACUCACCAGAGGAGCUGAACCCCUUGCAGAAUCUGCACAUCGUUUGUUUUGUCUCUCUACAUCUGAGUGACUUAAAUGACAGUAUCCAACUGAAUGCUAGCAGAUCAUGUUCUAAUAUUGUUCGUCUUGCCAUGUUUUCUCUCUCUCUUUUUUUUUUAAUGUUUUCAAAGUUAAGCAGUUAAUCCCAGGUCUUAAAAUAGUCCAUGAAUGUAAUGUUAUUUCCUCUUUUUGUGUAUCCCACAUGUAGCUUUCUACAACCUGUAAAAUCAGAAGCAACAAUGAAAACAACCGGUGACCUCACUAGGUCAAACUUUGACCUGGAACCUAAUAGUAAUUACAUCACAUACUGGCAAACUGUCCAAGUAAUUCAGAGAUUAUAUUAAUCCCAAGAUAUUAUUGCAUAUCCCUUUCAGAAAUCUGUACAAAUAUUCAGUAAAGCACUUAUUCCAUCAUGUGCAGGAUGAGAUCACUACUCCGCAGUAUGCUUGUUUCAGCAUCAGAUCUUUCUCAGAAGGCUAAGAACAAAACACCAUAGCCAAAUGCAUUGUAUGCCAGGCUUGUAUCCCAGAAAGAGCGCCACAUACAUAGGUUUCAAAAUGCUUUAUAUUAAUGAACUAAAUCUACCCAGUCAUAUGCUAACUUCUUUGGGUUGACAGUUGAACUGGAUGAUCUUAGUGGUCUUUUCCCACCUUAAUGUUUCUAUGAUUCAGUGAUUUUUUUAUUGUAACCUUGCUUCUUCAAAAAGGACAUUCAUUCAACUACACGACUUUCCAAUUUCAUUUAAAAAUACAGUAAAAUAAGCACUGCUUUACCUUUUGCUGUCUUCCUCUGACUUUAAUGUAGUGAUUUAUUUUCAGAUUUUCUUUGUUAUUGUUAAGUCCCUUUACAUCAAAACUUACACAUUCACUGACAUUUCUGUUGAAGAAUCUAUAGUCUGAAAGGUAUCUGUAGAUGACUGGCUUUCAAGCCAUUGCAGUUCUAUCUUAGAGCAGGCCGUACAACUGUAAUUACUGCCAGGUGCACCUCGUUCAUAAGGUUGAUCUGUGUUACUGGGCUGAGCAGGGCCCAGACACGUGCUUGGGCUCUGCCACGGGACAACCUAUGGCUCUGAGCUGUUAGUGUGCUUUUUGGUGUGCUUCUGGGCCAGGCCGAGAAGCUCUGAGGUGAAGGCACAGCAAGGUGUGAGGAGCAGCUAUGGGCUGGGUAUUGUGCUCGGCAGGCAGUAAGAACAGCUGCCAACCAGAAGGCCAGCUGUGUGAAUGGGAGCUGUGACACGCUACCCACCUGCAGCUGCACCGCGGCCCUUUUGUUUUCUAGCACAGAUGCCUAAGAAAAUAAAGGCAGAGACUCAGUGCAUUGCCUCCUGCUCCUGUUAUCAGAGAGCUGCUGGCAUGGAGAGGCCCUGAUGAGCUCCCUGCGGCUGCAGCAGGAGGGCUCGGCCUGCUCAGCAGCAGCACAGAGGCUGGGCCGUGGGUGCUGUCAGAUACCUGUCCGUAUUUACAGUUACCACGUUUGUUUGCUGUCUCUUCAACUGGGGAAAUCUGUUUUAUCUUCGCACAACAGCAAACUCACCGUUUGCGUUCCCAGUUCCUUUUUCUUUUUUAGCUGUUUAAUAUUUUGUGUUUUACUUCAGUAAACAUUUGUUUUCAGGGGAACCCUACUCUUAUUUUAUUGCAGUGUUAGUGCUGAACCAGCUUUCUCUGUUACUCUCCGAACCCUGCAGUUUUCUGCCAUUGAUGCUCACAAUACGAUUCCUGUUUUUCUGGCCUAUAUAUUGAACUACAAGUACCGUACAUACUUAAGGUCUUCAUUUUAGGCUUGUUGUUCUGUUUUUUUUUCCUGACCACCGUCAGAUCCAGGACUGGAUUAGCUGUUAUUACUUCUUCUAGUGGUAUUAAUAAAAAAUAUCCUAUAUCUUGGACAUAAUAAAUAUAGUAUUAAAAAUUUUCUAUAUCAUACCAAUAACUUGUAGCCUAUUUGGGAACACUCUUGCACAUAAUCCAAAUUCCUCUUUUAAGCUUUUUCACACCCUUAUUUUCAUAUACAUAGCACAGUCCUUCCUCCCAGUCCCAUAGAGAGUCACAUGAAAUAAACCUUCCUCACAGCCUUCAUGGAUCUUCCAUUUUCAUGUGUAAUAUUACUUCUGUGUCUGCCAGCCAUGUGAACCGCAGGGGCUGCAUGCAGGGUGGCUGUUUUUAUAAAUUACACUCCCUCACCUGAUCUUCCUCAUAUAGAAACAGAUAGUUAUAUUCUAUUUAUGCCUUAGCCAGGCUUGUUUGUAAUGCGAUCAAAAAGCAUUUCAUGGAAUUUGUUGUGGCACUGCACCCCUCAAGACCACGUGCACCUAAGCUGUGUUUAUGAACAGAAAUAUCUCAUUUCACAUGAUUACUUCCUGAAGGAGUUUCUAGAUGAUGUAUAUUUUCACAUCUCAGUGUAGUGGUAUUCGCACAACUUCAUUCUUCUCUUGCAAGCGCUUAUUUGCUCAAAAACUUGUCUUGCCUUGUUAUUAUUUCCAGCUAAGCUUUCCUCACUAUUCUUCAUACAUUGAAGAGAGAGAGACUUUAACUGGUUAUUUUUACUGUCACCCAAAAAUUGCAAUUAAAAAAAAACAACACAAACUCGAGUGUAAAAAUACUUCUGUCUUCCAACUGUAACCCUAUUAUUUUAGGUUAGUAGUACGGUUAAACAAGCAGUAGUUUUGUACCUUACGUGAUGCCAAUACAGUACUCCCAAAAACAAAGUUGAUUCUCCCAUGCUAAUUCACUUUCAUGUAUUUCCCUCUAACAAUAAUAUGCCAAUCUUAAAAUUGUAUUAUUUUUCAUGAUAAGACCAUGUUCCAUUAACUACUGUUAAACUGAUAAAGGUAUUAAGUAACAGUUUGUUUCAGGAUGUUAUUGUAUUACAUUAAAUAGUUAAUGAAAAGGACAGAACUCCAGCAGCGAUAAUUUAACUGUAUGCACGCCAUUUUAUAUAAUGUGAGGAUAAUACUAAUAGGCUUUACAUAGUUUUUAGAAGUCUUUCUUCCUCGCUCCCUGGAUAAUUUUUGUAUGGUUCAUUCAAUAAAAUUAAUUGCAGCAGAUCCAUUCUAAUAAAAAACUUACCACUAUUAUUAUACAACCCAAAACCUCGUCUUCCAUAUAACUACUCCUGGGUCCAAUAUUGUUCUGCUUUCUAAUUCUUGUAUAUAAUGUCACCCUCAUACUCAGAAAACGAAUCCCAUGCAUUUUGUCAUGAGUUAGUACCGUUACUGUAAGCUAUCGUAAGUACCAGAAACCAUAGAACCAUAUUGUACAUAUCAGAAAAAUUCCAGAAUGUCACUAUUUUAUCAUGUCCUUAGCUUUCCUUUCACUGUACUAACUCAAAUCCAGGGAGUUCAGGUUGUGCAGAGAACAUUUAGUAAAGAUUACAACAUGUGUAGGUAUCUACCCCUCAGAAAGCAUUAACUUUUAUUGCAGAUUUCUGCUAUAACAAAGCAUGAUUUAUAAAAAAAGACCCACUACUUUUAUGGACGUACAUCUUCUAGUUGUCUUUCUUUCUUUUUUUUACUCUAACUGCUUACAUUACUGUCUAUACAGAGCACUCUUUGUGCUGGCAUUUCCUCUUUGAUCUAUCUGCAAAUAAAAUCUAAAUACUCCUGCAACGCCAAUUAUGAAUGCAGAAUGUUUGCUUUCUUUCAGAUGCUCCUUUUAAGUUAGCAAUCCUAUACUGAACCAAUACCUUAAAUUUGUAUUUUUAUGGGAAUGUUCGUGCCUGUCCAUAAUUAUUAUGCCAUUGAUGCGAAUGGUGUGGUACUCUGAUCCUGUGAGGCAUGUGUGGCAUAAAAUACUCGAAAUGCUGUCACUGCGUUGUUAAGUUUCUUAUCUACUGGAAGUCCUGAAACAGCACAUCUGCUCGUUGUUUAGAGAUAUACGUGAUCAUGCUUAAGGCAGUAGUUUAGGCUGAUGGACGUAUACGUGAGAGAAAAAGGGACUGGUUUUGGACCAAGAGACUUAGGAAAGUUCGGUGCAAAAAGGAACAGGAAACUCAAGCUAGUAAAAGGAAGUAAAAAAGGAGAAGAUAGAGAAGGAAACAACAGGAGAGAUCUUUAAGCAGUGGGUCUGAAUAAAGAAACUACUGCCACAGGGAGGAGGACAAUGAUUUUAUGCUUUAGUAAGUCAGAACUUGCCAGUCCACAGCUUUUAAAAUAUAACCCACUUUCUGCAAGUGAGCCACGUAGGUCUCCAUAUUAAAAAUAAAAGAAGACUAGUGCUAUAUUUUGUUAAAUUUAAAUGACUUUAAUGCGGUUCACGUUUGAUUUUACAUUUCUACAAACAUCUUGAAAUUACAAGUUCAUUGGGAAACCAGCACACUUAAUUUGCGGUCGCAGCAAUACUUGUAGGUGAUUCAAAGCCAUACAACAACAAAAUCACAAUAGUGCCAUCUUCUUCUUUUUCUGUCUCUU